AUUGAACGCCGGCGGCAGGCCUAACACAUGCAAGUCGAACGGUAACAGGAAGCAGCUUGCUGCUUCGCUGACGAGUGGCGGACGGGUGAGUAAUGUCUGGGAAACUGCCUGAUGGAGGGGGAUAACUACUGGAAACGGUAGCUAAUACCGCAUAACGUCGCAAGACCAAAGAGGGGGACCUUAGGGCCUCUUGCCAUCGGAUGUGCCCAGAUGGGAUUAGCUAGUAGGUGGGGUAACGGCUCACCUAGGCGACGAUCCCUAGCUGGUCUGAGAGGAUGACCAGCCACACUGGAACUGAGACACGGUCCAGACUCCUACGGGAGGCAGCAGUGGGGAAUAUUGCACAAUGGGCGCAAGCCUGAUGCAGCCAUGCCGCGUGUAUGAAGAAGGCCUUCGGGUUGUAAAGUACUUUCAGCGGGGAGGAAGGGAGUAAAGUUAAUACCUUUGCUCAUUGACGUUACCCGCAGAAGAAGCACCGACUAACUCCGUG
rnacentral:rRNA from 1 species